ANUCGCNGCCUACCAUGCAAGUCGAACGGCAGCACGGACUUCGGUCUGGUGGCGAGUGGCGCACGGGUGCGUAACGCGUAUACAAUCUACCUUUUACAGGGGGAUAGCCCAGAGAAAUUUGGAUUAAUACCCCAUAGCAUAUGUUUGUGGCAUCACAGACAUAUUAAAGAUUCAUCGGUAAGAGAUGAGUAUGCGUUCUAUUAGCUAGUAGGUGCGGUAACGGCGCACCUAGGCUACGAUAGAUAGGGGCCCUGAGAGGGGGAUCCCCCACACUGGUACUGAGACACGGACCAGACUCCUACGGGAGGCAGCAGUGAGGAAUAUUGGACAAUGGGCGCAAGCCUGAUCCAGCCAUGCCGCGUGCAGGAAGACGGCCCUAUGGGUUGUAAACUGCUUUUAUACGGGAAGAAACACCCCCUCGUGAGGGGGCUUGACGGUACCGUAAGAAUAAGGAUCGGCUAACUCCGUGCCAGCAGCCGCGGUAAUACGGAGGAUCCAAGCGUUAUCCGGAAUCAUUGGGUUUAAAGGGUCCGUAGGUGGACGGUUAAGUCAGAGGUGAAAUCCUGCAGCUCAACUGUAGAAUUGCCUUUGAUACUGGUCGUCUUGAGUCGUUGUGAAGUGGUUAGAAUAUGUAGUGUAGCGGUGAAAUGCAUAGAUAUUACAUAGAAUACCGAUUGCGAAGGCAGAUCACUAACAACGUACUGACACUGAUGGACGAAAGCGUGGGGAGCGAACAGGAUUAGAUACCCUGGUAGUCCAGGCCCUAAACGGUGCGUACUAGGUGUGGGUGGCGAUAGUCAUCCGUGCCGUAGGGAAACCAUUAAGUACGCCGCCUGGGGAGUACGGUCGC
rnacentral:rRNA from 1 species